UUUUUCCGCUUUCUGCGUUCCA
rnacentral:siRNA from 1 species